rnacentral:rRNA from 1 species
CCUACGGGUGGCAGCAGUAGGGAAUCUUCGGCAAUGGGGGCAACCCUGACCGAGCAACGCCGCGUGAGUGAAGAAGGUUUUCGGAUCGUAAAGCUCUGUUGUAAGUCAAGAACGGGUGUGAGAGUGGAAAGUUCACACUGUGACGGUAGCUUACCAGAAAGGGACGGCUAACUACGUGCCAGCAGCCGCGGUAAUACGUAGGUCCCGAGCGUUGUCCGGAUUUAUUGGGCGUAAAGCGAGCGCAGGCGGUUUGAUAAGUCUGAAGUUAAAGGCUGUGGCUCAACCAUAGUUCGCUUUGGAAACUGUCAAACUUGAGUGCAGAAGGGGAGAGUGGAAUUCCAUGUGUAGCGGUGAAAUGCGUAGAUAUAUGGAGGAACACCGGUGGCGAAAGCGGCUCUCUGGUCUGUAACUGACGCUGAGGCUCGAAAGCGUGGGGAGCGAACAGGAUUAGAUACCCCAGUAGUC